rnacentral:lncRNA from 10 species
AGUCGCCAGGCACCGGCCACGGCGCACGCCAACAUCCAGGAUAAUUCUCCUUUCCAAGCCCGGGAGUUCCGGGGCAGGCGAAAAAGGGGGGAUGGGAGACCCACAGUCCCUUUAACCCUCCCCCCUGGCCUGCCAACCUUUUCCGAACCCCCAUGUCACACAACUUCCUCAUCAUGGAAACUUCCACUGGGUUCGGCGCUGAGGAUGCCAAACUCCAUUUCACAAGGAACAUGUCAACAGCUGGGCUUGGGGUUUGAGGAACAGAGCCGCUGCGAUUGGAACAGAGCCCGGCCACCCUGUUCCACCACUGUCCACUCCGUAGCUCCCAGCCUGCCGCCGCGCGGUGCCCGAACACGAGAGGGCACCUCCUCCCAGAUCCGGGGCGCAGAAGCCCCGCGGAGGCAGGUAGAAGAUUCUGAGGCCCUGGGCGGGAACUAGUAAGCCACAAUCUGGAAGAGUCUUUUACCACCAUGUGGAGGAGAACUAGAGCACUCAUGUUGAACUAUUACCGAGAAAAGUAAUCAACUUCUUUUGUGUUAAGUCACUGAAAGGCAAGUGUUGAUUUGUUGCAGUAAUUGGUGCUCCCUUAACACACCUGUCAGCCGGGCCAAACUCUAUCACAGCAUAAAUAAUCUUUUCCUUAAAUAAAUACAGGUAAAAGAAUAAAGUAGACCUAAAUGCAUUAAUAUGAAUAUAGGCUCAAAGCAAAAUGUUGGGCUAUAAAUGUUCAGAGUGAUAAUUUUUUAAGUUGAUGUGUAAUUUAGUACAGUAAAAUAGAUAAAACCUAAAUGUUCAGUUCAAUGAAUUUUUACAUGUUCAUGCCCCUGUAUAAUCACCUCCCAGAACAACAUAGAAAAUACUUCAUAUAAAUGGAAUCAUACAGUGUGUUUUCUCUUGUGUCUGGUUUCUUUCACUCAAUGUUUUUGAGGUGAAUCCACAUUAUUGUGUGGAUUAGAAAGUUGUUCUCUUAAAAUUUCUGUUUGACAUUACGUUAUAUGAAUAUGCCACAAUUUGUUUAUUCAUUCUCCAAUUGAUGGACAUUUGGGUUGUUUCCAAUUUGGGACUAUGACAAAUGAAGCAGCUAUGAACAUUCUUGAACAAUUAUUUUUGUGGUACACGCACUCAUAUCUCCUGGGCAUAUGCAUAGGAGUGAAAUUGAUGGUCAUAUAUUUAUCUGAGUUAUUCUAUUAAAGCUCAAAAUGAUCAAUAUUCAAAA